UAACAAGGAUUCCCCUAGUAACUGCGAGUGAAGCGGGAAAAGCUCAAAUUUAAAAUCUGGCAGUCUUUGAUUGUCCGAGUUGUAGUCUGGAGAAGCGUCUUCCGCGCUGGACCGUGUACAAGUCUCUUGGAACAGAGCGUCAUAGAGGGUGAGAAUCCCGUCUUUGACACGGACUACCAGUGCUUUGUGAUGCGCUCUCAAAGAGUCGAGUUGUUUGGGAAUGCAGCUCAAAAUGGGUGGUAAAUUCCAUCUAAAGCUAAAUAUUGGCGAGAGACCGAUAGCGAACAAGUACCGUGAGGGAAAGAUGAAAAGCACUUUGGAAAGAGAGUUAAACAGUACGUGAAAUUGCUGAAAGGGAAACGCUUGAAGUCAGUCGCGUUUGCUAGUACUCAGCCUUCCUUUUGGUUGGUGCAUUUACUAGUGAACGGGCCAGCAUCAGUUUUGGCUGCGGGAUAAAGGUCAGAGAAAUGUGGCACCUUCGGGUGUGUUAUAGUCUCUGGUCAUAUACCGUGGCUGGGACUGAGGAUCUCAGCAUGCCUUUAUGGCGGGGGUUCGCCCACCUUCGUGCUUAGGAUGCUGGCGU
rnacentral:rRNA from 1 species